rnacentral:lncRNA from 1 species
AACUUAUGUGCUUAUCACAUUUGAGCUUCAAUAACCUUUUUCAUAGAUCCAAAACAAUAAAUACAACCACAUGGACCAACACAUUUGGAGGGAGGAACUAUAGACGUACAUCAUGGGGUAGCAAAUAAUAUGAACUCCAGGCACAACAUUUUUUAACUUCUUUUUGUAUCUCGCAAACUGAAAAUAAGAGGAAAGGAAAUUAGAACACAAAGUAAGAAGAAAGCAGAGCACAAGUGCUUGUGCGACAUGGAUCCGUCAACCCUUUUGCAUCCUAGUUCCAGCUAGUAUGAGCUAGCACCUCCUGGAUCGAGCUGCAGUAGUGCAACACAACGCAUCAGAGAGAUAAAAAGGUGAGUAGCAGCAUGUACAGGAAGGGGAGAAAGCAACUACAACACGCGAGCAUCCACCGACAGAGAGAGAGAGAGAGAUGCAGCAACGGCUGGACAUGCGCAUUGUCAAUGGACAAAUGGUAGCCUGCUUUGUCGGGCAAAGACGGUGGCCCUCACCGUCAGGCACCGGCGACGGGGCGCAGCAGUGCUCGGGGUUCCCGGAGCAACGCGACGCGGGUUGGCGGUCUAGGCAUCGGGGUGGCGACCGCGACGACUCUACUAACAGACUGAAUAAGAAGUUAAGAACUGGGAGCAAAGACCAUUGGAAACAUGUUUACAAUUUUACAUUAUAUGAUAAAAAAACAAACUUAAAAUACCAUGCUAAAAAUUCAAAAUCUUCAGAGUUGGGUGCCUAUAACUGAACGUACAUCCCAUUUUUCUUGCAACAGAGUACCACAAUACUAACUUGUGGCCUAACUGUAAUCAAAUAGAACUCGUGGACUAUGCCCUUGCAACCACCUAAACAAGUAAACAACUAGCUGCAAAUCUCACUACCUGAACCCACACCGUCAACACAUCUCUGCUCUAUCAGCUCACAGUUUCAGACAGAAAAUGGGUGAACUAUACACAGAUUUACAUUGCACAAGAACAAGAUCCAUAAAACUACAACUAAUCAAGACAAACGUGGGAUUUGACAUUGGGAAAUCACACACCCACAUCUAAUAGACAUGAGAAUGGGGAUCUCUCACUCCCUUGUUCUAUCUCCUCUCACUUCCUUCAUACACACACGCAAACAGAGAGAGGAUGAGAGGAACACAACUGAAUCGGAUCCAGGGAAGAGCACGGGUGGCCUGCACGCAGCUCUACUCAUGACCGACGGC